rnacentral:rRNA from 2 species
GGUUAAGCGACUAAGCGUACACGGUGGAUGCCCUGGCAGUCAGAGGCGAUGAAGGACGUGCUAAUCUGCGAUAAGCGUCGGUAAGGUGAUAUGAACCGUUAUAACCGGCGAUUUCCGAAUGGGGAAACCCAGUGUGAUUCGUCACACUAUCAUUAACUGAAUCCAUAGGUUAAUGAGGCGAACCGGGGGAACUGAAACAUCUAAGUACCCCGAGGAAAAGAAAUCAACCGAGAUUCCCCCAGUAGCGGCGAGCGAACGGGGAGCAGCCCAGAGCCUGAAUCAGUGUGUGUGUUAGUGGAAGCGUCUGGAAAGGCGCGCGAUACAGGGUGACAGCCCCGUACACAAAAAUGCACAUGCUGUGAGCUCGAUGAGUAGGGCGGGACACGUGGUAUCCUGUCUGAAUAUGGGGGGACCAUCCUCCAAGGCUAAAUACUCCUGACUGACCGAUAGUGAACCAGUACCGUGAGGGAAAGGCGAAAAGAACCCCGGCGAGGGGAGUGAAAAAGAACCUGAAACCGUGUACGUACAAGCAGUGGGAGCACGCUUAGGCGUGUGACUGCGUACCUUUUGUAUAAUGGGUCAGCGACUUAUAUUCUGUAGCAAGGUUAACCGAAUAGGGGAGCCGAAGGGAAACCGAGUCUUAACUGGGCGUUAAGUUGCAGGGUAUAGACCCGAAACCCGGUGAUCUAGCCAUGGGCAGGUUGAAGGUUGGGUAACACUAACUGGAGGACCGAACCGACUAAUGUUGAAAAAUUAGCGGAUGACUUGUGGCUGGGGGUGAAAGGCCAAUCAAACCGGGAGAUAGCUGGUUCUCCCCGAAAGCUAUUUAGGUAGCGCCUCGUGAAUUCAUCUCCGGGGGUAGAGCACUGUUUCGGCAAGGGGGUCAUCCCGACUUACCAACCCGAUGCAAACUGCGAAUACCGGAGAAUGUUAUCACGGGAGACACACGGCGGGUGCUAACGUCCGUCGUGAAGAGGGAAACAACCCAGACCGCCAGCUAAGGUCCCAAAGUCAUGGUUAAGUGGGAAACGAUGUGGGAAGGCCCAGACAGCCAGGAUGUUGGCUUAGAAGCAGCCAUCAUUUAAAGAAAGCGUAAUAGCUCACUGGUCGAGUCGGCCUGCGCGGAAGAUGUAACGGGGCUAAACCAUGCACCGAAGCUGCGGCAGCGACGCUUAUGCGUUGUUGGGUAGGGGAGCGUUCUGUAAGCCUGUGAAGGUGUGCUGUGAGGCAUGCUGGAGGUAUCAGAAGUGCGAAUGCUGACAUAAGUAACGAUAAAGCGGGUGAAAAGCCCGCUCGCCGGAAGACCAAGGGUUCCUGUCCAACGUUAAUCGGGGCAGGGUGAGUCGACCCCUAAGGCGAGGCCGAAAGGCGUAGUCGAUGGGAAACAGGUUAAUAUUCCUGUACUUGGUGUUACUGCGAAGGGGGGACGGAGAAGGCUAUGUUGGCCGGGCGACGGUUGUCCCGGUUUAAGCGUGUAGGCUGGUUUUCCAGGCAAAUCCGGAAAAUCAAGGCUGAGGCGUGAUGACGAGGCACUACGGUGCUGAAGCAACAAAUGCCCUGCUUCCAGGAAAAGCCUCUAAGCAUCAGGUAACAUCAAAUCGUACCCCAAACCGACACAGGUGGUCAGGUAGAGAAUACCAAGGCGCUUGAGAGAACUCGGGUGAAGGAACUAGGCAAAAUGGUGCCGUAACUUCGGGAGAAGGCACGCUGAUAUGUAGGUGAAGUCCCUCGCGGAUGGAGCUGAAAUCAGUCGAAGAUACCAGCUGGCUGCAACUGUUUAUUAAAAACACAGCACUGUGCAAACACGAAAGUGGACGUAUACGGUGUGACGCCUGCCCGGUGCCGGAAGGUUAAUUGAUGGGGUUAGCGCAAGCGAAGCUCUUGAUCGAAGCCCCGGUAAACGGCGGCCGUAACUAUAACGGUCCUAAGGUAGCGAAAUUCCUUGUCGGGUAAGUUCCGACCUGCACGAAUGGCGUAAUGAUGGCCAGGCUGUCUCCACCCGAGACUCAGUGAAAUUGAACUCGCUGUGAAGAUGCAGUGUACCCGCGGCAAGACGGAAAGACCCCGUGAACCUUUACUAUAGCUUGACACUGAACAUUGAGCCUUGAUGUGUAGGAUAGGUGGGAGGCUUUGAAGUGUGGACGCCAGUCUGCAUGGAGCCGACCUUGAAAUACCACCCUUUAAUGUUUGAUGUUCUAACGUGGACCCGUAAUCCGGGUUGCGGACAGUGUCUGGUGGGUAGUUUGACUGGGGCGGUCUCCUCCUAAAGAGUAACGGAGGAGCACGAAGGUUGGCUAAUCCUGGUCGGACAUCAGGAGGUUAGUGCAAUGGCAUAAGCCAGCUUGACUGCGAGCGUGACGGCGCGAGCAGGUGCGAAAGCAGGUCAUAGUGAUCCGGUGGUUCUGAAUGGAAGGGCCAUCGCUCAACGGAUAAAAGGUACUCCGGGGAUAACAGGCUGAUACCGCCCAAGAGUUCAUAUCGACGGCGGUGUUUGGCACCUCGAUGUCGGCUCAUCACAUCCUGGGGCUGAAGUAGGUCCCAAGGGUAUGGCUGUUCGCCAUUUAAAGUGGUACGCGAGCUGGGUUUAGAACGUCGUGAGACAGUUCGGUCCCUAUCUGCCGUGGGCGCUGGAGAACUGAGGGGGGCUGCUCCUAGUACGAGAGGACCGGAGUGGACGCAUCACUGGUGUUCGGGUUGUCAUGCCAAUGGCACUGCCCGGUAGCUAAAUGCGGAAGAGAUAAGUGCUGAAAGCAUCUAAGCACGAAACUUGCCCCGAGAUGAGUUCUCCCUGACUCCUUGAGAGUCCUGAAGGAACGUUGAAGACGACGACGUUGAUAGGCCGGGUGUGUAAGCGCAGCGAUGCGUUGAGCUAACCGGUACUAAUGAACCGUGAGGCUUAACCUU